rnacentral:rRNA from 1 species
GAGUUUGAUCUUGGCUCAGGACGAACGCUGGCGGCGUGCCUAAUACAUGCAAGUCGAACGAACGGAUAAAGAGCUUGCUCUUUUGAAGUUAGUGGCGGACGGGUGAGUAACACGUGGGUAACCUGCCUCACAGCUGGGGAUAACAUCGAGAAAUCGAUGCUAAUACCGAAUGUGCUGAACAUCAUAAGAUGUUCAAGUGAAAGACGGUUUCGGCUGUCACUGUGAGAUGGACCCG